UCAAUGCUUCUUAUGGUCACGAAACUGCCACGUCAGUUUCAUAUGGAGCCAGCGGCCGCCGCCAGAGGCGCAGCUGUGCUUGAGAGGAAACGCAAACGCUGCUAUCGCUGGGGUUGUGUGUGGGACAGCCUUGGUGUUUUAGCUUUCUAAACUUCCGCAACGGUCGCUUUGCUUUCACACUCUUACUUUUAGCACUCAACAUGCAUAACUACAUUUUUGAAUGCGCUUUAUGUUUUAAAAUGAGCACCCGGGAGGAAAAAACCCAGCAUCGGACGCAUUAUUCGAAGGUCGCAGGUUCGGUCCCUGCCGGCGGCAAGUUUUCUUUUCGUCCACUUUACUUUCUUCGCAUUUAUAUCCCAAUUAUUACAAAUAACAUCCGAUAUACUUUCGUUGGCAUUACUGCCUGUUAGUUCUCAUUAAUAUUGUGUCUAACAAAGAAAAACGAGCCCUUAAAAGUAAUCUUCUUUCCUUCAGCUCAAGACAUGCAGCUCACGGUGGUACCAGCUGAAAAACUAUGAAAAUUGGGGGAUUAACGAAGAAAUACCAAAAUAUAAUUACGAACGCAAACGCGGGGGACUUCUGAAUGAUUUUUGCCUCCUAGGUUCCUUUUAGAUGUACCAAUUCUCAGCGCACUGGUGUUAUUGCAUGUCGACACAAUCGAAGUGCGGCCGCUACGGCCUCGCAAGCUCCUUUCGUCUCAAUACUACGACACUACGAUACGUACAACUUUUUAACAUUUCCGUCAAAUUAAACACCGUGCACUCGCAGUAAAGUGCCAGCGGUGCCAGUUGUAAACAUAGGCAAAAAUACGAGCUGUUACACGCCCAUUCGUGUGGCUACGAUGCGGUAUAAACAGAGCGUCGGCGAUGCUCGGAGCUUUUCACAGGAUGACUCACGUGGUCGUUUGCAUGGUGGUCGCAUUGUCGAUGAGGGAGAUCGAGGUUUGCGCUUCGUGAGAUACGAAGGAAGUCCUUCAAAAAUACUUGGAAUUGCGUCAGCCUUCAGUGUUGGUUUGUCGGUUUUCAGGGACACGGAGUCGCCGUUGAUGUUAAAGUCAUACGCAGUGACAAUGUCCGAGGCGUCAAAAAGGUUCGCACACGAACGUGUAUACUUCGACUCAAAGUUAAAAUCGCCACUUUCCUGCCGCGGUAUGGCCCGCUUCCCUUUCUCGUGCUGCUGCUUGUCUAAUGGUAAAGAAAACAACGACACCUUUCUGGUUCCCUUGUAGCCAGAACGGCACCCCGGCAUUCAACAUCUAUUAGGCAUCCUAUUCCUGAGACAACGUUUCCGCUAACUUAAACAUAUCAUAUCCAGCAGCUUGUCUCGCACUGUGCGAGUAUUUCAAUACGUGGACGGCGCAGACAAUCGCCUCUGUGGCGCAGCGGCGGCGCAUUGUGGCAUUGUCGAGCAGCGUAUGAAGCUCGCCCAUAGCGUGACGGUGCAGUUUCGUGACCAUAAAGAGAAUUGAAUGACUCUGGUUAAGGUUACAAGACUGUUGAAGUUUCCAAAGGCAUGUUCACAUCUGCUUUGACCUGUUGAAACCAUAACACUUAUUAGCAGCUUGUGUCCAGUCACGGAGUACACAAAGUUGAAUGGCAUGAAUACAAACUCAAGCAAUGGAUUGAGACAAGCAGUUAACUAGAAACCAGCGUCUAUUCCUUUUGUUCACUUGAAUUCUUUUUUGCACACUUUAACAUUAUGCAUUCUCUUGGCAGUCCAAAACUUUCACUGAGUUUCAUCACAAAUAUGCAACGUAGCUAUGGUGGUGUGAAGAAACAGCAAGGGCAGCGUAGUUUAAUUCUUUUGCAGAGCAAGUUGAUGACAUGCUUUAAAGUGCGCACACCAUCCAUUUGCACUUAACAGGUAGCCAAUGCAUUGUGUAAGAUGACGUGUUGCUGCAGUGCAAACUCGUGUGUACCUUUACUACAUCGCUUUCUUGCAGCAGAUGAACAUUUUUUUUAGACAUCUGCCAUUAAGUGGCACUUUUGAGGAUAAUUUAUGGACACGCAGGCCUAUAAGUGCGCGACGUAGCGAGAGACAGCGUUCCUCCUGCAAGUUUGACAUUCCAAGCAAGAGUUGUUUCGCAAGGGCAUACUAUAGCGACUGUGCUAAUGUUGUGUCGUUGGUAAGAGGCCAUUUUUUAUUUACGCCUACCUGUGAUUCACUCGUAUGAGUGGUGUGAUCUGUGUAUUCACGAGGGGCCCAUGUGUAGUAGUUUGAUGCUCUGCGGAUGAAAGUGGAAGGUCUCUUGUUGACGUAACAUACUUAAUGGAUUCUUACAGGUAGUGGUGCAGUGUAGACAAGUUAACAGGUGUUCUAGGGAAGCUCAAGGGAAUUUGAGAAUACACCUAGUAGAAUCUUGAUUAAACGAAUUAUUGGUUAUAACGAGCUAAAUCUAGGUUGUUUCUUCCCUAUAUCUGCACUUCACAAAUAUGUGCUUAUAACUAGCAUAGAUUGUAGAACUGUUUCGUGGUAUGUGUAGCUUCCUUACUAUGAAGUUCAACUCUACAUGCAUGCAGGUAAACUGUAGAGAUUCAAGAUAUGGCCCUUGUUUAGUCAAACUGUAGGCUGUGAGCCAUAGAUUAUAAAAAGAGGGGCUCUUCAUCUAACCAUGCCAAGAUGGUAUUGAAUUGAAAGCACAAGCACAAACUUUCUUUCAUAAAUAACUGCUUGAAGAUUUUUAUAUUCUAGGGGCAUAGCAGGGAAGCACUAGUCUGUGAACAAUAGAUUAUAAAAAGAGGUACUCUUCAUCUGACCAUGCCAAGAUGGUAUUGAAUUGAAAGCACAAGCACAAACUUUCUUUCAUAAAUAACUGCUUGAAAAUUUUUAUAUUCUAGGGGCGUAGCAGGGAAGCACAGGACAUCAGGAUUAAUCUGGAAGUAGAGCUUCUGGCCUGCAACGUAAUUGCAGUAUCAAAUGCUAGCAGUUACCUUACUGAAUUUGAGAAUGAUUUGUAGUUGCGCAGGAAGUUACCAUCCAGAGAUCUCACGCUUUCAUAGGUGUUUAAGUAAGCUAUUGCUGAGAGUGGUGACAUUGGGCCUCUCGUAUACUUUGGGCAUUUUGUACUUCUGGCAAAGGCGUGGAUGCUUGUUUGAUGCUUUUUAUGCUAUGUAUUCCUCUGUGCACUGUAUGAAAUGUAAAGGCCACUUUAGUGCUAAUAAUGUGAUCGCAAUACUUUACAAGUUCCUACGUUCAUCUAACCAAUAUCCAGGAAAACAUUACCAGCGAAACGACUGGAACACUGGACUUGGUACAUGCAUUGUGCCUGAAGCCCUGAAGACAGUUUUCCAGAGCAUGUGCAUAUUGCAAGGCAUGUUCAUAGUGCUUCUUGGCAUUAUUACAGGCUUGCUGUUGCAACACCAGUGUUAGGCUCCCCACUGUUUCAUCUAGAGGGAUGUGCUGUUGGGCACAAUGCUGCAGCUGCAAUGUGAACACUUUUGUAACUGUCUGCAUUUUGUUAAAAUGAUGCAUUAGCUCUGUAAGCAUACACAGAUGGUGGCGACACAUCUGGACGUAUGCACCCUUCAUACACAUGCUACUUUACUACAAAUAAUGCACUGCUUUUUUUUGGAAUGCUGCAAGCAUCUGCAGAUGGUGCCACUGCCUAUAUGCUUUCAGACAAGUCCAGUUUGGGUCCUGGCAUCAACCAAGGCUCUGCGGUUGGAAACAUCUACACCAGUGUCUUGUUAGACUUUCCCACGUACCUUCGAAUGUUGUUUGGCCCUAAAAGUGCUUUCUUGACUCUGGAGCGUAGGACAGUGCCAUUUCUUGAUUGUACACUGGGAGUAUGCAUGGUUAUAAAAUAUAGACUCCAAAGUUGCCAAGGGGCGUUGCAGAAGUACAGUGGUCUGUUCAUGGGUUUUGCUUCGUUCGUGUAAGUGGAGCAGUGAAUAGAAGUUUCUAUAAUGUGACAUCUUUUUUUUUUUUCAUUCUGCCUAUAUUGAUAGUCUGUUUUAAUAUCUCGAAUGCAUUAUGUAAUAUUUGAAUUUACGGAGCCUAUUAAGCACUCCGCUGUAUAGCCAACUUUUAUCAAGCUCAAUGUCUGACCGUCAAGUUGACAGCCUUGUUGUCAGCAUGUCCUGUAACACGUCUUACCUAUUCACUGGAACACUUCAGCUUUUAUACCAAGGGUAGAGGUAAUAUGCCCUGCUUGUGCAAUGCAUGAAUGUUCCCCACUGCUCCAAAAGACACAUUGUGUGUCUUUUUUUAUUCUGUCCUCUUUCUUUGCGUGUGCAUUCACAAUGAGAGCUUGCCGCUUUGCCUGCCACCGAUCAGAUGUUGUUGCUUCAAGGUACCGCAAAAUGUACAAUGCUUGCAAUCACAGUGUCUCCAAUAACUUGUUCAGGGCUUUUCAGAAUACCUGUGACUGGAUUAUCGAUCAGUCAUGCCUCUUGGAUGUUACUUAAAAAAAUGUAGAUUGGCUAAAAACCGCCAGAACCAUGCGGGAUGAAAAACGUAUGGUGCUCCUCAGGCGUUCACGUGAUUUAGUUUUUAACAGACUUUGCUGCACUGUCAGGUGUUUGUUUAUUUUGUGUGUGUUGAAAAAUGCAGUUGCAACACACACCACAGAUGCAGUGUCUCAUGCAGGCAUCUGCAAUGUUGAAAUUCCAUAUCGCUCAUUGCUCUGGUAUUGCGUCAUACAAAACCGAAACUAUAAUAAAAAGUGACAGAUUCAUCUUAAUGUCCCUGUAGGUAAUCACAAAGAAAGUUGUCCAAGAUUCUGGUCAGAGCAGACUGUUGCUUCAUACCCGGUGGUCAUUGUAGCAAUUAGUGGAAGCAAAAAUUGAUCGGAGACAAUGGUGACUAGAGUUACUGUAUAUGCUACCUUUGGGUAGCAGAGUUGCGCAUUGGUCUGGCUAGCAACCAUGGCUAUGUCGCGAAGACUCACUCCGUUUUUGCAGGUGACAUGCUUACCGGGUCACCGGUCGACAUGUUUGGCGUGUCGAAGACCGGUGAUUUACUUUAAUGUGAAUGACUAGUGUCAAUCCAGUUCGCUGCAGCGGCGCCAUCGAGAUAUACAAAACUUGCCCCCACCGUCAGCUUCACCGCAAUGCAUGGUUGCUAGUGGCGUUUGGAAUACAGAUGUGCAACUCUGCUACCUAAAGGUAGCAUAUGCAGUAACUCUAAUGGUGACGAGAGAAAUCGGGAGACGCUAGUUGCUAAAACCUGUGUAGAAUGCACAUAUCUACAAUGAAAUAGACUGUUAAAAGAGAAUACACGAGCAUUGAGUGUGUGUAAACGUUUCCCUCUGAUGAGUGUAUAAUCACCCGACUUUGCAACACAAUGCUGCUGGUGAUGCUGGCACCCUUUUACACACUGUCGUGGUGCACUAAUAAACUUCAGCCAGCACUUGCACAUAAUGCACCAGCAAAGUUGAAGGCACACAUUAGAGUGUUUCCUUUAUCAGAUGACUGAGCUGCGUGAUAGCAAGCAGCGUGCUGCCAGACUAAGUUUCGGCUAAGAAAUUGGUGCCCAUGGUGCCCAUAGACAACAGCUUGUAGAUGCAAUAUUUCACACAGCCACCUGAAAGGUUAACAAAUGUAAUUUAUUAGCACCAUCUGAAUGUUCCUUGUUUCUUUUACACUCUGUGUUGCUUCUGUAUCACAGGAACCACUUGGGGACGUGGUACCACCGCUACAGAUUCGCAUGCCCAUUUUAUCACUGGAACCGCAAGGGCAUCUACAGUGCCAUAGAAGGCUUGGAAUAAAUGCUGAUAUCAAUGCAAGCGGGUGACCUUAGCUGACAACUUUUUAGUUUAAGUGACCAGCAGUUGAAUUUGAAGGUCUCCAUUUCUGUGUUUAUUCCUUCUUCCUUUGUCAUCUGAACACUGCAGGGUGCUGGAGAUGUGUUUAUUGAGACAGUUAUGCUAGCCUGGUUGUAUUUUUUGUUUUGUUAUGUUAUUUUUACAAGAUAUCCUUAUGUUAUGAAUGUACGUUUUAAAAUAAACAACUACUGCAUAA
rnacentral:lncRNA from 1 species